rnacentral:rRNA from 1 species
GUUGUAUGGUUAAGUGACUAAGCGUACAUGGUGGAUGCCUUGGCAGUCAGAGGCGAUGAAGGACGUACUAACCUGCGAUAAGCCGUGAGCAGUCGGUAAGAGACAUUACGACUCACGGAUUUCCGAAUGGGGAAACCCACUUAGCAUAAGCUAGGUAUCGCUGCGUGAAUACAUAGCGUAGCGAGGCGAACCGGGAGAACUGAAACAUCUAAGUACCCCGAGGAAAAGAAAUCAACCGAGAUUCCCUCAGUAGCGGCGAGCGAACGGGGAUUAGCCCUUAAGCAUCUUGGAAGUUAGUGGAACGGUCCUGGAAAGGCCGGCGAUACAGGGUGAUAGCCCCGUACACGAAAACAACCUUGAUGUGAAAUCGAGUAGGGCGGGACACGUGACAUCCUGUCUGAAUAUGGGGGGACCAUCCUCCAAGGCUAAAUACUCCUGACUGACCGAUAGUGAACCAGUACCGUGAGGGAAAGGCGAAAAGAACCCCUGUGAGGGGAGUGAAAUAGAACCUGAAACCGUGUACGUACAAGCAGUGGGAGCCCUUCGGGGUGACUGCGUACCUUUUGUAUAAUGGGUCAGCGACUUACAUUUUGUAGCGAGGUUAACCGUAUAGGGGAGCCGUAGGGAAACCGAGUCUUAACUGGGCGUCUAGUUGCAAGGUGUAGACCCGAAACCGGGUGAUCUAGCCAUGGGCAGGUUGAAGGUUGAGUAACAUCAACUGGAGGACCGAACCCACUAACGUUGCAAAGUUAGGGGAUGACCUGUGGCUGGGGGUGAAAGGCCAAUCAAACUCGGAGAUAGCUGGUUCUCCCCGAAAGCUAUUUAGGUAGCGCCUCGGACGAAUACUACUGGGGGUAGAGCACUGUUUGGGCUAGGGGGUCAUCCCGACUUACCAACCCCAUGCAAACUCCGAAUACCAGUAAGUAAUAUCCGGGAGACACACGGCGGGUGCUAACGUCCGUCGUGAAGAGGGAAACAACCCAGACCGCCGGCUAAGGUCCCAAAGUUCUGGUUAAGUGGGAAACGAUGUGGGAAGGCUCAGACAGCUAGGAUGUUGGCUUAGAAGCAGCCAUCAUUUAAAGAAAGCGUAAUAGCUCACUAGUCGAGUCGGCCUGCGCGGAAGAUGUAACGGGGCUCAAACCAGGCACCGAAGCCGCGGAUUCACACUAAGUGUGAGUGGUAGGGGAGCGUUCUGUAAGUCUGCGAAGGUGUAUCGAGAGGUAUGCUGGAGAUAUCAGAAGUGCGAAUGCUGACGUAAGUAACGAUAAAGGGGGUGAAAAGCCUCCUCGCCGGAAGACCAAGGGUUCCUGUCCAACGUUAAUCGGGGCAGGGUGAGUCGACCCCUAAGGCGAGGCCGAAAGGCGUAGUCGAUGGGAAGCAGGUUAAUAUUCCUGCACGACUUGUAAUUGCGAUGGGGGGACGGAGAAGGCUAGGUGGGCCAGGCGACGGUUGUCCUGGUGAAAGUGCGUAGGUGGUGUUUCUAGGCAAAUCCGGAGACACAACACUGAGACACGAGACGAACACACUACGGUGUGGAAGCCAUUGAUGCCCUGCUUCCAGGAAAAGCCUCUAAGCUUCAGAUUACAAGUCAUCGUACCCCAAACCGACACAGGUGGUCGGGUAGAGAAUACCAAGGCGCUUGAGAGAACUCGGGUGAAGGAACUAGGCAAAAUAGAACCGUAACUUCGGGAGAAGGUUCGCUCUUGACAGUGAAGUCCCUUGCGGAUGGAGCAGUUGGGAGUCGCAGUGACCAGAUGGCUGGGACUGUUUAUCAAAAACACAGCACUCUGCAAACACGAAAGUGGACGUAUAGGGUGUGACACCUGCCCGGUGCCGGAAGGUUAAUUGAUGGGGUUAGCGCAAGCGAAGCUCUUGAUCGAAGCCCCGGUAAACGGCGGCCGUAACUAUAACGGUCCUAAGGUAGCGAAAUUCCUUGUCGGGUAAGUUCCGACCUGCACGAAUGGUGUAACCAUGGCCAUGCUGUCUCCACCCGAGACUCAGUGAAAUCGAAUUCGCCGUGAAGAUGCGGUGUACCCGCGGCUAGACGGAAAGACCCCGUGAACCUUUACUACAGCUUGGCACUGAACAUUGAACCUACAUGUGUAGGAUAGGUGGGAGGCUUUGAAGGCGUGACGCCAGUUGCGCUGGAGCCGUCCUUGAAAUACCACCCUUGUAUGUUUGAUGUUCUAACGCAGGCCCCUGAAUCGGGGUCGCGGACAGUGCCUGGUGGGUAGUUUGACUGGGGCGGUCUCCUCCCAAAGAGUAACGGAGGAGCACGAAGGUUGGCUAAUCCUGGUCGGACAUCAGGAGGUUAGUGCAAUGGCAUAAGCCAGCUUAACUGCGAGACGGACAGGUCGAGCAGGUACGAAAGUAGGUCAUAGUGAUCCGGUGGUUCUGAAUGGAAGGGCCAUCGCUCAACGGAUAAAAGGUACUCCGGGGAUAACAGGCUGAUACCGCCCAAGAGUUCAUAUCGACGGCGGUGUUUGGCACCUCGAUGUCGGCUCAUCACAUCCUGGGGCUGAAGUCGGUCCCAAGGGUAUGGCUGUUCGCCAUUUAAAGUGGUACGCGAGCUGGGUUCAGAACGUCGUGAGACAGUUCGGUCCCUAUCUGCCGUGGGCGUUGGAUGAUUGAAGGGAGUUGCUCCUAGUACGAGAGGACCGGAGUGAACGAACCUCUGGUGUUCGGGUUGUCACGCCAGUGGCACUGCCCGGUAGCUAAGUUCGGAAUCGAUAACCGCUGAAAGCAUCUAAGCGGGAAGCGAGCCCUGAGAUGAGUCAUCCCUGACCCCUUGAGGGUCCUAAAGGGCCGUUGGAGACCACAACGUUGAUAGGUGGGGUGUGUAAGCGCGGCGACGUGUUGAGCUAACCCAUACUAAUUACCCGUGAGGCUUAACCAUACAACACCCAAGAAGUGUUCU